rnacentral:rRNA from 1 species
UAGAGUUUGAUCCUGGCUCAGCUUGAACGCUGGCGGCAUGCCUUACACAUGCAAGUCGGACGGCAGCGCGGGCUUCGGCCUGGCGGCGAGUGGCGAACGGGUGAGUAAUACAUCGGAACAUGUCCAGUAGUNNNGGAUAGCCCGGCGAAAGCCGGAUUAAUACCGCAUACGAUCUGUGGAUGAAAGCGGGGGAUCGCAAGACCUCGCGCUAUUGGGGUGGCCGAUGGCGGAUUAGCUAGUUGGUGGGGUAAAGGCCUACCAAGGCGACGAUCCGUAGCUGGUCUGAGAGGACGACCAGCCACACUGGGACUGAGACACGGCCCAGACUCCUACGGGAGGCAGCAGUGGGGAAUUUUGGACAAUGGGCGCAAGCCUGAUCCAGCAAUGCCGCGUGUGUGAAGAAGGCCUUCGGGUUGUAAAGCACUUUUGUCCGGAAAGAAAUCCUUUUCGAUAAUACCGAGAGGGGAUGACGGUACCGGAAGAAUAAGCACCGGCUAACUACGUGCCAGCAGCCGCGGUAAUACGUAGGGUGCGAGCGUUAAUCGGAAUUACUGGGCGUAAAGCGUGCGCAGGCGGUGAUGCAAGACCGAUGUGAAAUCCCCGGGCUUAACCUGGGAACUGCAUUGGUGACUGCAUCGCUAGAGUAUGGCAGAGGGGGGUAGAAUUCCACGUGUAGCAGUGAAAUGCGUAGAGAUGUGGAGGAAUACCGAUGGCGAAG